rnacentral:lncRNA from 1 species
AUGGAGCGGCUGAGAGCCCUUCGAGGUCUCUUUGCUUGUGUGGGCUGCAUGCCCAGGCGUACGCGUCGCGGGAGCAGAGGCAGGGUGGCAAGCUCUGUCCCUGCCUGUCCCGUGAAUUUGCUGCUGCAGCGCCUGCAAGACAAGGAGGGUGACCGAGCGCAGGUGUACUGCCAGCUGGAGAGCGCCCUGUGGGAAGAGGGCAGCCGCCCGCCAUGCGGGGUGGCGAACCGGCUGCUGGCAGAGGUGUCUCGGGACCUGACGGCGGCCCAGGUGAGGGGUCACUCCCAAAGGCAAAGGGAGCCACCUGCCCGCGCUG